AACGGUAAAAGAUGAGUAUGCGUCCCAUUAGCUAGAUGGUAAGGUAACGGCUUACCAUGGCAAUGAUGGGUAGGGGUCCUGAGAGGGAGAUCCCCCACACUGGUACUGAGACACGGACCAGACUCCUACGGGAGGCAGCAGUGAGGAAUAUUGGACAAUGGGCGCAAGCCUGAUCCAGCCAUGCCGCGUGCAGGAAGACGGUCCUAUGGAUUGUAAACUGCUUUUAUACAGGAAGAAGCACUCCCUCGUGAGGGAACUUGACGGUACUGUAUGAAUAAGCAUCGGCUAACUCCGUGCCAGCAGCCGCGGUAAUACGGAGGAUGCAAGCGUUAUCCGGAAUCAUUGGGUUUAAAGGGUCCGUAGGCGGUUUAAUAAGUCAGUGGUGAAAGCCCAUCGCUCAACGAUGGAACGGCCAUUGAUACUGUUAAACUUGAAUUAUUAGGAAGUAACUAGAAUAUGUAGUGUAGCGGUGAAAUGCUUAGAGAUUACAUGGAAUACCAAUUGCGAAGGCAGGUUACUACUAAUAUAUUGACGCUGAUGGACGAAAGCGUGGGGAGCGAACAGGAUUAGAU
rnacentral:rRNA from 1 species